rnacentral:lncRNA from 13 species
CACUGUCAUUUUGCUGGUAGACUCCCUUUCUUGUUAACUUUGAUGGAACAAGUUGUGUUGUAGAGGCUCACAAGAUAAAGAAGUGAGGGCAGCCUCUGGCCAAUAGGCAGCCAUGUCCUGAGGCUCUCAGUCCAACAGUCUGCAAGUCUUCCCCACAACCAGGACUCAAGGAAGUCUUUCUGAAGAGUGCUGCAGUCAAACUUGAGAGUUGGGGUUACCAGUACCUGGAACACAAGCCAUGAUGCUAACUGAGAAUUUUCUACUUAUAUGCUUCUCAGAAGGCUGUGAAAAGAAUUACAUUCUGGAUUGUUCCUAGGUUCCUAUGGCAGCUGUAAGCAUUUUAAGGAAGAAAUAGUUCCCUAAAACCAUCAAUUUGUAAAUUGGCUUAUGUUUUGUUCCUUUAUGAAAAUUAACUCUUUUUGCAACAAUUUUUUGGGGGAAGAAUUAAUCUAAUAAACAAUUACUUCCAACUUAUUUUGUGUGUAAU